AAAAAUAAGAGCGGCUACUGCUCCCCCAAAAUUUUCAUUAACCAGCUCUACGCCUCUACCUCUCUAGAGAAACACAUUCUCUGUCUCUUCUCUCUCAAACAAACUCUCUCAUUUUCUUCACUGUGGAACAAAUUCCAGAUCUUUCUUCUCAGUCUCUUCGUCUCGUCGGCUGGGUCUGAUGCUCCUAGGAGAUCGAAGGCAUUUAUAAAAGUGCAAAUGGGUUUCGAUUUGGCCAAUUUAAUCUAUGGAGAAUAGAUGAUGUUUUAGCACAUCAAAUUGAGGCUUCUAGAUGCAGGUAUUACAAUCUCGCACAUGCAGUGAAUGAAAGAGUUUUAAGGCAGCCCUCAAUGCUACAAGCUGGAAUCUUGAGAGAUUAUCAUAUUAUAAGGACAACUACGUCAACUACCACAAGAGAUUAAUUGAUUUAGUAAAUAUCAGACGGUUAUGAGGACGACAACACCAUGGGUAGUGCCCAGCCAGCUUAUACUUCAAUGAGAAAGUAUGUAAGGUACUAUAGAGACUUUGUGAUUGGGCUUAACAAAUCCUUGGUGGAUGAUUCCAGUAUUGAGAUAUGCAUGCUUGUACAAGGUUAUUUGUAGCCAUUUGAAAUGUUAUUAAUUUAGUUUGUACAAAUUAUUUUAAUCUUUUGUUAGGCAAAGAUUUGACUUUCAGUUACUUGUAUAAAUUGUAUAAGACAAUAGUUUGAUUUCUAAAGUUUUUACCAUCUCAACAAUUGUACAAAUAAAGUUCACACAACUGUUGACUCUAUUAAUGCAAGAAAACACAUUAUUUUAUCGAAA